rnacentral:rRNA from 1 species
AACAAACUAAGUUUGACCUCAAAUCAGGUAAGAAUACCCGCUGAACUUAAGCAUAUCAAUAAGCGGAGGAAAAGAAACCAACAGGGAUUGCCUUAGUAGCGGCGAGUGAAGCGGCAAUAGCUCAAAUUUGAAAUCUGGCACCUUCGGUGUCCGAGUUGUAAUUUGAAGAAGGUAUCUUUGGUUUUGGCUCUUGUCUAUGUUCCUUGGAACAGGACGUCACAGAGGGUGAGAAUCCCGUGCGAUGAGAUGCCCAAUUCCAUGUAAAGUUCCUUCGACGAGUCGAGUUGUUUGGGAAUGCAGCUCUAAGUGGGUGGUAAAUUCCAUCUAAAGCUAAAUAUUGGCGAGAGACCGAUAGCGAACAAGUACUGUGAAGGAAAGAUGAAAAGAACUUUGAAAAGAGAGUGAAAAAGUACGUGAAAUUGUUGAAAGGGAAGGGCUUGAGAUUAGACUUGGAAUUUUCCAUUUAUGGAGCUUUCCGGGCCAGCAUCAGUUUGGAUGGCAGGAUAAUUGCGUUGGAAAGUAGCACCACUUCGGUGGUGUGUUAUAGACUUCGUCGAUACUGCCUAUCUAGACUGAGGACCGCG